UUGCUUUAAAAUAUAACUGAUUUAAUUGUAUUUAACUUUUAAUGAUGGCUAUAUUUCUCGAUUGGCUUUCUUAAAAUUUCUGAAGCUUAAACAACUGACUCCAAAGAACUGGAUUGAGCCUGUUCCCAGUCUUGGCUGGAUUUAGAUGUCACUGCCCCUUAUGUCCUGGCUGGCCAGUCCUUCUCAGAGCGCCUGGAAGCAGCGGCUUAGGGCUCUAUGUUCUUGCUGCCAAGGAAGGUUUUUAGCUUGGCAUAAAAACUUACCUGAGUCUGAACCAAAGGCUGAAAGCUGUUGUCUCUUUUUAGUUCUGGAUGCUCUUGGUUCCAGGGGGCAUGCAAAUAUGGUAGGGAGGGCAGAGGACGGGCAACCUUUGUAGUUUAAGCACCGGACCUCCAGUACUGAGUUGGGAUUUCUCACAGAAUGCCAUGCUCCUGGAGAGGAAUGCUCCUUUUGGAAGCCAAGGGAUGUCUUCUGGCACUCUGGUUCUAUGCUGAUCUUAUUAGGGUGUUGGACUAGGAGGACCUUUCCACGGACCCAGGGAGCACCAUUAUCACUACACUCCUCCCCCCCCCCUCCCAGGUUCUCCAUCCUCUGUAUUCCAGAAAGGUAAGGACAUGCCCAUUCCUGAGUCCUGGGGCUUUGGGAAAGCUUACCCUCACCUUUGGAUGCUGCUAGAGUCAAGAGGGGACAAGAAGAAGGAAGAAGGAUGGUGAAUGAAAGAAUGAAAGUGAAUAUGAGCUGCCCAGAGGACAGAGAGAGGAAGCUGAACCUUGUGUGCUGCAGAAUGAAGUGGGUUGCUUUCUUGAGGCGUCUGCCUACACACUGACUGCUCUCUCACUCUGCCCGCAGCAACCCUGGGCAUUUCACGAUACAGAGUUAGCUCUGCUAGGCCAGCUGCAUCUGGAGAGGGCUGCACAGUCCUUACAGCUGCUCACUGUGAACCCUUCUCAAAGGCACGAGGACGCCUAUGUGAUACUUGGAGAAUGAGCAAUUUCCUGAAUGCUUCCAAGUAUGCUCGAAGUAGAUUUUUGAAGCAUCCAAAUUGGGUGGAAAAGAAAGUUUCCCAUACGCCGUGGGCUGAACAGACUUCCCAGGCUCAAGGUGGCUGCCCAUCUCCUCCCAAAGUCCCUACCCACUCAAGAGGCUUCCUGUUGCUUGCACCUGCCGAAAUAAAAUAUUACCACGAAACCUAGGUAAUAAUGAGAGCCUUUGUGUCUUAUCACUGGAUCCGAUAAGCCUGGCUAGAAAGUGUGGGCAUGGGCCAGGGGGAGGAAGAACAGAAUGAUCAAGAAUUCUGGGCAGCAAAUGGAAGUUCACCUGAGGUCAAGAGCCAUUCAUGCUGCUGUGCAGCCCAGCAACCCACGGAUUUCUGGUUUGUUUUGUUUUGCUUUGGAUUGAGGGUUUUGUGGUUGUUGCUGCUGCUGUUGUUCUGAUCACUAAAUCAUCCAGACUGACCUUGAACUCACUCUGUAGCCUCGUCAGUUCUCAGCUUUCAACCUCCGAUCUCAGUCUUCCAAGGGCUGGGACUACAGGCAUGUGCCACCCAACCCUGCUGACUCCAGGAAAGCUUCCUGCACACAGACCCCAGACCUGUGCCUUUGAGACCUGUCCCUCCUGAGAAGGCAGGGACCUAUGCCUGUCACCUGGCCUGAAAUGGCACUUCUGGAUAUGGCAUCUGGGGUCGAGACUAAGCUACCCUGGACAAGUUGCUUUCAUGUCUGGGUCUCAUUCCCUCCCCUGAGAAUGAGUUAAGAAGAACUAAUCUUGUAGAACACUGGGUAAAGGUAACAUGUGAAAUAUCAGCCCAGCACCUCAUUUGUUGUCCAGUUCACAGAUGAGAAAAACAAGGCUCUGGAAGGCAACACGGCUUGCCCCUGUUGUCCAGCUGAUUUCUAACAAAACCUGCACCUGGGUUUUGAACAUCUUUCUUUCCUCCACAUGUAGUGGUAGUUUGAAAGAAAAUGGCUCCUAAAGGGAGUGGCACUAUUCAGAGGUGUGGUCUUGUUGGAGGAAGUGUGUCAUUGUGGAGGCGAGCUUUGUGGUUUUAUGUAUGCUCAAGAUACUGCCCAGUGACUCAGACCACUUCCUGUUGCCUGCCCGAUGUAGGAUUCUCAGCUGCCUCUCCAGCACCAUGUCUGCCGGGACGCUGCCUUGUUUUUCAUCAUGAAGGCAAUGGACCGAAACCUCCGAACUCUAAGAGAGCCUUCACAAUGGAAUGUUUGCCUUUAUAAGAGCUGCUGUGGUCAUGGUGUCUCUUCACAGCAACAGCAACCCUAAGACAGAGUUGGUACCAGGACCAGGGUAUUGCUGGGAUGGAGCCGACCUUACUUUUGUUUGAAGGUAUAUGAAUCUUGGGACCAUGAAAUAGAAAAGCAGUUGAAUGCUUUAAGUACUGCUUAAUAGGCCAUCCUAGUAGGAAUAUGGAAUGUCAAUGACGCGGAGUGUGAUUUGAACUGUGGGGGCGUGGCUCAAGAGGCUUCAGAGGAGAAGAAUGUUAAUAUGUGGCCUAGAGAUCAUUCUUGUGAUACCUCGGUGAAGAAUGUGGCUGCCUUUGUCUCUGUCUGAAGAGUUUGCCUCAGGCUAACGUGAAGUGUUUUGGAUUAAUUUUAUUGGCAGAGGAAAUCUCAAAACAGCCUAGUAAGACUCUGUUGUGUGGUUAUUAGUGUUAACUCUAGUUAAGAUAUAUAA